AGCAAAGUUAGUGGCACUGGGCAGCCGGCAGUCAGAUUCAAGGGCGAGACUGCCGAGUCCUCGGGCUCGCUUUACCGAUCCUGCUCAAAUGCGUGCCCGCGAAACUCCUGUGCGGGAGGGUACUUGGGGCGCAAAGGUCCCUGCACAGAGGGUCACGUGAACGAGGGCACGCGAUGAAGAGGAACCCUCAUAUAUGAAACGGUGCAAAUGAAUAAGUGCCUAUUUGAGCAGCCAAGACACCUUCUGAAUGAGCAUGAUAAAGUUGCCAUUGCAUCUGUUGUGCAACUCAGUUGGGAAUCCGUCAUUCAACCAGGUGAGAACACUGAGAUUUUCUACUACUUAUCGUUAUCAAGGGACGUCUGGG